GACGAACGCUGGCGGCGUGCUUAACACAUGCAAGUCGAACGGAAAGGCCCUGCUUUUGUGGGGUGCUCGACUUGCGAACGGGUGAGUAACACUUGAGUAACCUGCCCUUGACUUUGGGAUAACUUCAUAAAACUGGGGCUAAUACCGGCUAGGAGCUCCUGCUGCAGGGUGGGCGUUGGAAAGUUUAGGCGGUUGGUAGUGGACUCGCGGCUUAUCAGCUUGUUGGUGGGGUAGUGGCUGACCAAGGCUUUGACGGGUAGCCGGCCUGGGAGGGUGACCGGCCCAGCUGGGACGGAGCUACGGCCCGGCCCCGUACGGGAGGCAGCAGUGGGGAAUAUUGCACAAUGCGCGGAAGGCUGAUGUAGCAACGCCGCGCGCGGGAUGACGGCCAUCGGGUUGUAAUCCGCUUCCGCCUGUGACGAAGCGUGAGUGACGGUAAUGGGUAAAGAAGCACCGGCUAACUACGUG
rnacentral:rRNA from 1 species